UAAGCAUAUCAAUAAGCGGAGGAAAAGAAACCAACAGGGAUUGCCUCAGUAACGGCGAGUGAAAGCGGCACCAGCUCAAAUUUGAAAUUCUGGCCUCACGGUCCGAGUUGUAAUUUGUAGAGGAUGCUUUUGGCGAGGUGCUUUCCGAGUUCCCUGGAACCGGGACGCCAUAGAGGGUGAGAGCCCCGUACGGUAAGACCACCGAGCCUCUGUAAAGCUCCUUCGACGAGUCGAGUAGUUUGGGAAUGCUGCUCUAAAUGGGAGGUGUACGUCUUCUAAAGCUAAAUACCGGCCAGAGACCGAUAGCGCACAAGUAGAGUGAUCGAAAGAUGAAAAGCACUUUGAAAAGAGGGUUAAAAAGUACGUGAAAUUGUUGAAAGGGAAGCAUUCAUGACCAGACUUGGGCUUGGUUGAACAUCCGGCGUUCUCGCCGGUGCACUCUGCCAGUCCAGGCCAGCAUCAGUUUGCCCCGGGGGACAAAGGCGGUGGGAAUGUGGCUCUCUUCGGGGAGUGUUAUAGCCCGCCGUGUAAUGCCCUGGGGCGGACUGAGGAACGCGCUUCGGCCACGGAUGCUGGCGUAAUGGUCAUCAAUGACCCGUCUUGAAACACGGACCAAGGAGUCGUCUUCGUAUGCGAGUGUUCGGGUGUCAAACCCCUACGCGUAAUGAAAGUGAACGUAGGUGAGAGCUUCGGCGCAUCACCGACCGAUCCUGAUGUUCUCGGAUGGAUUUGAGUAAGAGCAUACGGGGCCGGACCCGAAAGAAGGUGAACUAUGCCUGUAUAGGGUGAAGCCAGAGGAAACUCUGGUGGAGGCUCGCAGCGGUUCUGACGUGCAAAUCGAUCGUCAAAUAUGGGCAUGGGGGCGAAAGACUAAUCGAACCUUCUAGUAGCUGGUUUCCGCCGAAGUUUCCCUCAGGAUAGCAGUGUUGAACUCAGUUUUAUGAGGUAAAGCGAAUGAUUAGGGACCCGGGGGCGCUAUUUAGCCUUCAUCCAUUCUCAAACUUUAAAUAUGUAAGAAGCCCUUGUUGCUUAAUUGAACGUGGGCAUUCGAAU
rnacentral:rRNA from 1 species